CCACAAGAGAGCUCCCCUGCGGAACCAAAUGUUGGACACUUAGCAUUUUUUGAAAGACAGACACCGAGAAGCAUUAAUCACCUUGGAAAGGAGGGCAAUCAUCAGUGAGAUCUGUCGGGAAUACAUUGAGGCUGAUGUAUCUAAUGGAACCUGCACUUAUAGCCAGACCUGUCAAUAACCUUAGCACCAUUACUGAAGAUAGCUUUUUCACAAGAUUGGCUUCUUCUUGCAAAGAUUAUUCACUACCCUAUGCGCAAAUAAAAGCAGCCAUUAUUGCCCUUUAUUUCCCACAUCUUCUUUCCUUGCCCUGCUCUUUUUUAUUA